rnacentral:rRNA from 1 species
UACGUAGGGCGCAAGCGUUGUCCGGAAUUAUUGGGCGUAAAGAGCUCGUAGGCGGCUUGUCACGUCGGGUGUGAAAGCCCGGGGCUUAACCCCGGGUCUGCAUUCGAUACGGGCAGGCUAGAGUGUGGUAGGGGAGAUCGGAAUUCCUGGUGUAGCGGUGAAAUGCGCAGAUAUCAGGAGGAACACCGGUGGCGAAGGCGGAUCUCUGGGCCAUUACUGACGCUGAGGCGCGAAGGCGUGGGGAGCGAACGGG